rnacentral:rRNA from 1 species
GGGUCAGUAGGUUGGUCGUGCCACCGGUACGUACUGGUCUCACUGAUUCCUCCUUCCUGAAGAACCGUAAUGCCAUUAAUUUGGUGUUGCGGGGAAACAGGACUGUUACUUUGAAAAAAUUAGAGUGUUUAAAGCAAGCUAGCGCUUGAGUACAUUAGCAUGGAAUAAUGAAAUAGGACGAUCGAUCCUAUUUUGUUGGUUUCUAGGAUUGACGUA